ACCUCUCGCAUUAGCCGCCCCACUCCUCUCGCCGUUUCUUAUUCACUCUAAUUAAUCUCCACCAAAUUCAAUUAUAGUAUGCUUUUGGAUUCAAUGAAAGACCAAACGAGAGAAAGACUCGAAAAUCAAAAGAAGGGAGGCGCAAAAUGGCCAGGGGAAGCUUUGGGUUGACGGUCUGGUCACCGGCACCAACAAUGGCAAAAUAUCGUUGUCGGUGGUGAUGACCUGCACCGUCUGUGUCUUGCGCCCUCAUAUUUGGCUGUGGCAUCGAAAUCUUUGGUGAGUUUUGUAUGGGUGGUUUUCUUUAAUUUCAAUGUUCGAAUUGAAUCUUGUUCCAUACUUGACUGAAAUUGAACAGCAAGAUCCGAACAAAACUGAAAUUAAACAAGGAGGGGAGGAGGUGCUGGUUCUAUACUUGACUACGGUUAGAGAUCGAAUCCUAUCUCAAAUUCUCAAGUAUUUUCGAUUUUGGGAAUCAGUUUUUGUUUUUAAUUUGUAGAAAGAUAAGUAAGUAUAAGCUAUUUAAUGUUUAUGCUAUGCUUGAUUGCAACUGAUGGUCUUGGGGUUUAUUUGUUUAUUAUAUAGGAUAUUUUUGGAACUGCAUGUAUCUGGAAAACCCAUGAACUCCAUAUGAGGGAAAGGUAGCCUCCAUAUAUGGGUAGUGAUAAUUGAGAGAGAUUGAAGCAUGUGGAUGUUGCUGAGAUAGUUCAUUAGAAUUUAUGGAGUUUCAUGUUUCUCCUAGAACAAUUUCACUACUGACACUACAGGACAUCUGCGCGCCACUGCUUUAAGGCAACCCAUGCCACCAAUGCUUAGAAGUUAUAAAAGAAAACGAUGAGCAGGAUAUUGCAGGUUCAAUUGAUGACCCACAUGUAUGGCAUUUCCUGAAUUCAUUAUAAGUCGGAUGUAGAAAGCUACUUUACCUAGCACAUGAUUUUGAUUAAUAAUAUUUGUAUCUAGCAGUA